UUUAGGUUAACCCAAAGCUCCCCAUGUAUUUGUUACCAGUACCGUCAAAAAGCCCCUUGGUGCUAAGAAAACUGGGAAAACUGGGGGACUUGGUGCUCGCAAACUCACUACAAAGCCAAAUGAAAGUCUGUAUGAUCAGAAGCCUGAAGAACCAGUUAUCCCAGUAGUUUCCUCAACCAAAAGCACUCCACCAGCUGUCACACCCCUUUCUGCACCCAAGUCAUCGAGUUUCUUUGCGGAUUUCGGAAUGGAUAGCAGUUAUCCCAAGAGAACUAGUUCAAACUCCUCAAAGGUGCAAGUACCAAGGUUUUAGAGAAGUGAAUUCUGAGCUUUCCUUUUAAUCAUCUAGUCAAAGACAAGGAAAAAAAAAAAAAAACAGA